UACGUAGGGAGCAAGCGUUGUCCGGAAUCAUUGGGCGUAAAGCGCGCGUAGGCGGCCCUGUAAGUCCGUUGUGAAAGUCAAAGGCUCAACCUUUGAAAGCCGAUGGAUACUGCAGGGCUAGAGUCCGGAAGAGGCGAGUGGAAUUCCUGGUGUAGAGGUGGAAUGCGCAGAUAUCAGGAGGAACACCAAUAGCGAAGGCAGCUCGCUGGGACGGUACUGACGCUAAGGCGCGAAAGCGUGGGGAGCGAACAGG
rnacentral:rRNA from 1 species